CAAUAGCGUAUAUUAAAGUUGUUGCGGUUAAAAAGCUCGUAGUUGGAGUUCUGCCAGGUGACGCUCGUCCGCCCAAGUGGUGUGUACAGGGCGUGCAUCUGGCCCUUUCAAGGGGAACGUGUCUGCACUUUACUGUGUGGUGCGAGAUCCUUGACUUUUACUUUGAGGAAAUCAGAGUGUUCCAAGCAGGCUCUCGUCGUGUAUAGCUCAGCAUGGAAUAAUAGCAUUGGACUUCGUUUCUAAGCUGUUGGUUGCAAGAAGCGAGGUAAUGAUGAAGAGGGAUAGUUGGGGGCAUUCGUAUUUAACCGUCAGAGGUGAAAUUCUUGGAUUUGUUAAAGACGGACUACUGCGAAAGCAUCUGCCAUGGAUGUUUUCAUUGA
rnacentral:rRNA from 1 species